rnacentral:tRNA from 1 species
GAGAGUAUAGCUUAGUGGUAGAGCACAAGCUUAGCAUGCAUAAGGUCCUGGGUUCGAUCCCCAGUACCUCCA